CAUUUACUUUGAGAAAAUUAGAGUGUUUAAAAGCAGCCUCGUUGGGGCACUGAAUACAUUAGCAUGGGAUAAUAAAAUAGGAUCUUCACAAUAUAUUUUAUUGGUUUAAAUUGCGUAUGAAGAUAAUGAUUAAUAGGGACAGUUGGGGGUAUUCAUAUUGGGUGGUUAGCGGUGAAAUGCUCGGAUCCAUUCAAGAUGAACUAAAGCGAAAGCAUUUACCAAGGAUGUUUUCAUUAAUCAAGAACGAAAGUUAAGGGAUCGAAGACGAUUAGAUACCGUCGUAGUCUUAACUAUAAACUAUGCCGACCAGGGAUAUGAGUUGUUAGGAAUAUAUGAAAAUAUAUUCAAUUUUUUCUUAUGGACCUUGUGAGAAAUCAUAAGUUUUUGGGUUCUGGGGGGAG
rnacentral:rRNA from 1 species